rnacentral:rRNA from 1 species
AGGGAUGACACAGUAGGAUAAGCUAAGCACACUGUUGGUUAUGUGUGCCCAAGCAUUGAGGCAGUCAAAGUAGGCAAAUCCGCUUUGAUAAUGCUGGGAUGUGAUGGGGAGCGAAAUGUAGUAGCGACGUAGCUGAUUUCACACUGUCAAGAAAAGUCUCUAUCGAGGUUAAAGGUACCCGUACCGCAAACCGACACAGGUGGGUGAGGAGAGUAUCCUAAGGCCAGCGAGAGAACUGUUGUUAA